GGGCCCGUAGCUUAGCAUGGUUAUAGCGCCCGGCUGAUAAUCCCUAAUUAGAAACCGGGAGGUCGGGGGUUCAAAUCCCCCCGGGCCCA
rnacentral:tRNA from 1 species